GAUUGGGGCAAUACUUGCCCCAAUCAAGAAUCGCUAUUUAUAUAGUUUAAAAAAAACCCUACAUUUUCAUUGUAAAAUUAAAUCAUUCUUUGUAA
rnacentral:tRNA from 1 species